rnacentral:rRNA from 1 species
GAUGAACGCUAGCUACAGGCUUAACACAUGCAAGUCGAGGGGAAACGGCAUCGAAAGCUUGCUUUUGAUGGGCGUCGACCGGCGCACGGGUGAGUAACGCGUAUCCAACCUGCCCAUCACUUGGGAAUAACCUUGCGAAAGUAAGACUAAUGCCCAAUGACAUCCCACGAAGGCAUCCGAAUGGGAUUAAAGAUUUAUCGGUGAUGGAUGGGGAUGCGUCUGAUUAGCUUGUUGGCGGGGUGACGGCCCACCAAGGCAAUGAUCAGUAGGGGUUCUGAGAGGAAGGUCCCCCACAUUGGAACUGAGACACGGUCCAAACUCCUACGGGAGGCAGCAGUGAGGAAUAUUGGUCAAUGGGCGAGAGCCUGAACCAGCCAAGUAGCGUGCAGGAUGACGGCCCUAUGGGUUGUAAACUGCUUUUAUAAGGGAAUAAAGUGGGUCACGUGUGACUUUUUGCAUGUACCUUAUGAAUAAGGACCGGCUAAUUCCGUG